rnacentral:rRNA from 1 species
UACGAAGGGAGCUAGCGUUGUUCGGAAUUACUGGGCGUAAAGGGCGCGUAGGCGGUCUUGUCAGUCAGGAGUGAAAGGCCCGGGCUCAACCUGGGGACUGCGCAUGAUACUGCGAGGCUAGAAUUCGGGAGAGGAUGGCGGAAUUCCCAGUGUAUAGGUGAAAUUCGUAGAUAUUGGGAAGAACACCGGUGGCGAAGGCGGCCAUCUUGCCCGAGAUUGACGCUGGGGGGCUAAAGCGUGGGGAGCAAACAGG